ACGCGUUCUCCGGCAAGAGUGGUUUCAGCUGUUUUUUUGGACGUGCUAGUAGUUAACUCAUGGGAUAGAAAUACUACCGGGAGUGGUGAGAAACAAGACCUAGAAAGCUCAGAGAAAAGCAGAUGGAGAGUGGAGCUCUUGUCUGUCUUCUCGGCUCCUAACGGCAGCCCCAGAUUCGCAAUGAAGAGCCCCACGCCACAUGAAAUGUGAGCAAGUCCACCCACCUCAUCUACCCUGGCGGCCAGUUCCUCGUUGGACCAGAUCCCUUCUAUCAUAAGCUCCUCCUCAGCACAUGGUUAUUACUGGAAUGCUGGUGGUUUGGGCAACUCUUUUUCUGGUGAGAUGGUGCAGUGGGAAGGUACAUCCCACUUCCAGCGGGUUGUCCCUCGGUGCUGGCUUGGCUUCUUGGGAAAAGAGUGAAGAAUCAGAGCCUACACGCUGCUGCUGAGCUCCACAGCCUCCAUCUUGCCUCCUCCUGUUUAGACGAUGCGGGUCCUAGUUCUGGGAAGCCCUUCCACCGGAUCGCAGAGCCUCUCUGAACUUCAGGCUCCUCAUCUAUAAAAUGGACCUCCCAAGGUGGUGGUUUAGUGCUGUCAGGGACAUGUUGGCAGGNGGACCGUGUGAGCUGUUGUGUCCACAGUAGCCUGGAAAGGCCCUUCCCGCUGAGGCGUAUUGCCCAAUGAAGUUGGAGGGGUGAAUUCGAAGCAAGACCUCAAGCAGGGGGUGAAGCGGACAUGAUGUAGAGAAGCUGCUGCUGAUGGCAAUGGGACCAGAAAAGGGGGGCCUAAGGGAGAACAUGAGAAGCAAAAAGGGCAGCCCCUUAACCUUCAACCUCAGAGGCUCGUGAGGGAGAAACCCAGUCAGGUCUGAGGGGAGAUCUCACAGCAAGGGGGUGGGUGGGACUUGACUCAGAUUGCAGUGGGGAGAAAUUUUAAUGACACCCCCUCCCUAGCAAACCAGCGAUGCAAGAUGGUGCCAGCACAAUAUGGUGCCAGUCAGGAGGUGGUUUGGAAUGGCUGAGGAAGGGAGUCUGGGAAGUGGCUUCAUGCAACGCUGCUCGUUCUAGUGAGAAUGCAGCCAGGUAGUCCUAGGUCCCAGGGGCCGCAGAGCCAAGAUCUGCCUCACCAGCUAUGUGCAGGGACCAUGCACUUUGGCUUCACCUCUUCCUGCCCCUACCCCACCAGCAAGCCCCAGGGACCAGAACCAUCUCUGUCCUGCGUGUGUGUGUGUGUGUGUGUGUGUGUGUGUGUGUGUAAGAAUGCAGGGGACUCCACUCAGACCUUCAACCCUCUUGUCCCACCACCGUGAGGCCCAUGAACAUCUCUCUGCACCAGGAAAUUAUCUUGGCUGGGAGAAGGCGGAAGGGUGAGAAAACCUUGGAAUACUGAGCAAUUUUACUCAAAAGAGACUGAGUUAAUCAUACAGAAAUGGAGCUAUGUCUAAGGGGCAAUUUAAUGGUUUCUUUUUGUUUGUUUUCUUUUUGCCCGUCAGUAGUAGGAAUUAUCAGAUCACGAUGAGAAGAGUAUAAGAAAAAGUAAGAACAAUACUGAUUUGACCCAUCUGGGUAGGUGUGUGUGUGUGAUCUUUAGCCCUCCCACAAUUAUGUCUGUACACGUUUGCUGGGGCAACUGUAUAUUUUCAAUUCCAAUCGUCAGACCUUUCCUUGAAGCUCACGUGUGUUUUGAUCUGGCCAGGAAUUGAGAAUCAUAAAAUCAUUAAAUCUGUAUUAAUUACCUAUUGCUGCAUAGUAAGUUAAUCCAAAAUUUAGCUGAAAUAAAUAUGUAUUAUC
rnacentral:lncRNA from 1 species